CUUUUUAGGGCUGUACCCAUGGCAUAUGGAGGUUCCCAGUCUAGGAGUCGAAUCAGGGCUGCAGCUGCUGGCUUACACCAUAGCCACAGCUACUCAGGUUCCAAGCCACAGCUGCAACCUACACAACCAUAGCUCACUGCAAUGCCGGAUCCUUAACCCAACUGAGCGAGGCCAGGGAACAAACCUGCGUCCUUAUGGAUACUAGUCAGAUUUGUUUCCACUGAGCCAUGAUGGGAACUCCAAAACUUCUGUACACUUUAAAUGGGUUAACUCUAUGUGAAUUAUACCUCAAUAAAACUGAUGGUGCCUCUGCUGAUUCUGGGAACCACAUUUUUUGAGAACCACUGUAACAAAAGGCUUCAAAACUGCUUCUGGCUGAAGGCGGUACUAAUCAGCACUGGAGAGUCAAGCGUUUUACUCAGGGACUGGGAAAUAGUCCUGAAUAAAAAGUUAACACUUUGUGCUAAGCACUGUUCUAUUCCACUGGUUCCCCGACCAAAUCUCCUUUGGAACUUGUUGGAAAUGCAUAUCUCAGGGCCCUUCCCAGACCUAUAGAAUCAGAUACUCUGGGGGUGGAGCCCAGCAACCUGUGUUUUAGCAAGCCUUGUAGGUGAUUCUGAUGUUCCCUGAAGUUUCAGAACCAUUGUUCUAAGAACUUUACAUGCAUUAACUCAGCUACACAUCUCCAAAACCCUAUGAGGUAGGUAACACUAUUAUUACUAUUUUACAGAUUAAAAACUGUGACACAGAGGUCAAAUAAUUUGCACAAGAUGACACAGCUGGAAAGAAAUGGAGUCAGAACUUGAACCCAGGGAGCCUGGGCUCUUAAUCACUGUGCUGAAAGAUCUGUCCAUCUACACGAACUCAAUCAGCAGAAUGCAGUAAAUAAAGAAUUACACUAGUAAGUUUUAAAAAAAGCAAAGAUGAGGAGAAAUACGACUCACUAUAUAAAGACAGGCAAAUAAGCAAAUAAUUGCAGCAAAUAAUGUAAUCAUUAAAGCAAUCUUCCAAAUGUGUUCCGAAAUACAAGGAGCCACCAAAUACAAUAUACCGAGUAUUUUCAGACCAAUUAUCUCUGGAACCUAAUUAUAAAGACUCAAAAUCUGUGUUAUGCUAAAGAUGGUACAUAAAUUCAUGGCAGUAUGUUCACACUUACCAAUCUUUAAAAUCUAAAUGAUUAUACUAAAAACUCAUUCCAGAACAAUUUGCAUCUCCCUACUCCUGGUCUCUUUCAGUCACUACUUAAAGAUUACCGAAAAGGAAAAACUGUUUUCUUUCAACAUCUAAGAUUAUACAAUCAGAAUUUUAGAGUUGAAAAAAUUUUCACAUUCACCUAGUCCAAUCAGCAAUCCAAACUGAAUCAAUCUACAAUACUAAACUCCAUUUAAAGAUACAUUCAUAAGAAGCUAAAAGAAAUCCCAAUUUGCCAUAAAAUCACAUUCUGGAACCAAUCCAUGUCACCACUGUAAUUUUUAAAGCCAAAUGAUUAAAACUUUUUAAGGGAAUUAAAAGUUGAAAAUGCUCAGGUUUUAACAGCCUAAACAAAACCUACACUUGUUUACUCAUAGAAAAACACUCCUUCACUAUCUGAAAGUGUUUCUAUAACCAAGCUGGUCAACAAGUACAUCGAGUUUCAGCAACUCGGCCCCUAUGACACAUCAAAUGAGAGCGCUUCCAAAGAAUCUUGUGAGCUGAGUUAUCCCUGAUAUUAACAUAUAAACAUCUGGUAACCCAUCAUUGAAGAAACGAGUCAGAGAACAAUACAGCAAAACACCCAACUGCUUGUGACUAUCAACCUUACAGAUAAUGAAAUCAUUGUAAAGCAGCCAAAUAUGGUUACAGCUACACAUCACAUUUUCACAACUUAAGUCAAACUGCAAGAGAGGUUAACAUGGAAUGCGAAGGGCAAAUACUUUCAAAGCAACCGAUUUUGGCAUUUCAGUAAUACUUUGAAUCCAUGGUUGAAAACACAAAACAAAAGGGGAAAAAGGCAACAGAAUUUCCAUUGUAAACUUGUAACUCUGGAAACAAUUCAAAUACUGAAAUGCCUACUGUGUGCAAUGGUCUGUCCCCAAAAUCUACAAUUAUCCUAGUUUCACAAACUCAGGAUUAGAAGGUUUAAAGGAAUUUUGUUCAAACUUCCAAAGCAGAGAAAAUUCAGGAUAAAGGUAAAUAUCUAAUCACUUUACAUAAUGGGCACACAUUUCUUUUGUUGUUGAACGAAUGAAUGGAUUUCACUUCUUUUAUACUUAGUAAAUUUACAACUAAGGAUCUAAUUUCUCCCUUAAUGAACAAAGAACUGAAAAGCCUGAACUCAUCAUGAUUCACUGCAGCGGUAAUUCACAAUCAUAUUUCAUCUAAAUACCUCAGAAACUUUAAUUCAUGACCUCUAAUCCUCUCUGGCCCUUCAACCUGGAAUUACACUCAUUUUAAAGGUAGGCACAAGUGGCCCUGCUCUGCCCACUUGUGCUUAAGUCAAAGGCUGGCUGGAGCAUAUAUGUCUAACUUCCAUUCACAAUUUUGACCAUGGAAGGGACAUUAACAGUGGAUCCAAUGCUGAACAAGGAAAUAAAUGAACAGCUUAAAGGACUCUAUGCUGGGGAACAGCAUUUUCAGAAGAAAUAAAAUGAAAAAAUAACAACAGAAAAACUGUAUUUGUGUUUAACAGGUAGCAGGAAAAUCAGGAUAUAAGUGGAAGCUCUCAAAAAUUGUUUAGUAUUGCCAUUUCAAAAACUGUAUUAUAGCCAAAGGAACUCAUCACUAAGUCUUAAUAGCUUAGAAGUUAUGGAUCAGAGCAGCUGAGAUACCAACAUCAAAAGAAUAAAAAGCAACUUUAUAAGAUAGUAUAAAAAUAACUAAACCACCUAAGGAAAUUGAAACCAUGGUGAAAAACCCCAAAGGCACAAUCAGGUCAUUAUCUAGGAAACAUUAGCUUCUUCCACAAGGAGGCCUACUUUUCAUGUAGAGCCGUAAGCAGGGCCAAGACAUGGGACUGAAGUCAGGUAUCAAUUAAAUCAGACUCUGCCACAGAAAAAGGAACCCAUGACUAGUUAUUUUGGGAUAGUGCCUAAGCCAGCAGUAUCAACUCCAACUGGGAUAGAGGAGAUUAUCGCCAUUGUUCCAUUAUAAUGGGGUCCUCCAAGGUCUUUAACUUAGCAAGAAUGGGUUAGAUACCACUUUGAGAAUGUAAUCACCAAAUGUGGGGGAAACUCUUUAGGGCAAUUUCUUCAACAAAUAAAUCAGAAGAAAAAGGGAAGGAAACUACAGAUUAAAACAGAUUUAAGAGGUAUCAAUCCUCCUUUGUGAUAAAUGGAUUUUCUCUGGAUCCUGAUUCAAACUAAAAUUUGAACAAACAAAAUUUAAAAUAUUUGCUAUUUUAAAAAAUCAGUUAAUUUUUUGAGUUGUGGCAAUGGUUCUGAAGUGAUAUUUAAAAGUAUAUACACAAGUAUUUUGCAAAUAGAAAGAAAAUGCCAGCAGGGGUUUAUGUCAAAAUAAUCUAGGGGGUAAGGAGUGAGGGGUUGGAGUAGAGUACAGGUAAAAAGUAAAGGCUGCAAGUUGGUAACUGUUACAGCCAAUGAUGGGUACACAGGGGAUCCUUAUAUUAUCCAAUUUUUAUAUGUUUCAAAAUUCCAAAAAGAAUUAGACAUAAUAUCUUGCAAUUUUAUUUUCUGAAUGAUGCUUAAGGUGAUUUUAAAAAUCAUGUAAUAGAGAGAACUCAUUUAAAUUUUAAUUUAGUAAUGAGCUGCAUUUAAACACAAGAAACAGUCAGUACCACAUCAGAUUCAGAUAAUGGAAAAAACCAAAGUAGCUCAAUUACAGAACAGAAAUACACCCCCCCCCACCAUCUCCAUUCCAGGAAGUAAAAUACAAAUACUACCCAAAAAGAUCCACAAAAACUAACCUAAAAUCACAGCCAAUCAUACUCAUCCUGGUGGGAAAUCCCAACACUGCUCCGACAGCUUCCUGAACCUUCCUGACACCAAGUUGGUCUGCUGGUU
rnacentral:lncRNA from 1 species